GACGUAGGGCGCGAGCGUUGUCCGGAUUUAUUGGGCGUAAAGAGCUCGUAGGCGGUGUGUCGCGUCGGCCGUGAAAACCUGGGGCUCAACUCUGGGCGUGCGGUCGAUACGGGCAUCACUGGAGUUCGGCAGGGGAGACUGGAAUUCCUGGUGUAGGCGGUGAAAUGCGUUGAUAUCGGCUGGAACUCCGAUGGCGAAGGCAAGGUGCUGGACCCUCUCUGACGCUGA
rnacentral:rRNA from 1 species